UAGUAGCACCCACUGAAACCAAUUUGCAA
rnacentral:piRNA from 1 species